rnacentral:rRNA from 1 species
AGCAGCCGCGGUAAUUCCAGCUCCAAUAGCGUAUAUUAAAGUUGUUGCAGUUAAAAAGCUCGUAGUUGAAUUUCGGGAUCAAUUUGCUGGUCGUGCCUUCGGUACGCACUGGUAUUAUUGGUUUCUCCUUUCUGAUGAAUCGCGAUGUCAUUAAUUUGGUGUCGUGGGGAAUCAGGACCGUUACUUUGAAAAAAUUAGAGUGUUUAAAGCAGGCUCACGCUUGAAUACAUUAGCAUGGAAUAAUGAAAUAGGACGUUUGAUUCUAUUUUGUUGGUUUCUAGGAUCGACGUAAUGAUUAAUAGGGAUAGUUGGGGGCAUUAGUAUUCAAUUGUCAGAGGUGAAAUUCUUGGAUUUAUUGAAGACUAACUACUGCGAAAGCAUUUGCCAAGGAUGUUUUCAUUAAUCAAGAACGAAAGUUAGGGGAUCGAAGACGAUCAGAUACCGUCGUAGUCUUAACCAUAAACUAUGCC